rnacentral:rRNA from 1 species
GUGUCAGCAGCCGCGGUAAUACGUAGGGUGCGAGCGUUAAUCGGAUUUACUGGGCGUAAAGCGAGCGCAGGCGGUGUUGUAAGACAGAUGUGAAAUCCCCGGGCUCAACCUGGGAACUGCAUGUGUGACUGCAUCGCUGGAGUGCGGCAGAGGGGGAUGGAAUUCCGCGUGUAGCAGUGAAAUGCGUAGAUAUGCGGAGGAACACCGAUGGCGAAGGCAAUCCCCUGGGCCUGCACUGACGCUCAUGCACGAAAGCGUGGGGAGCAAACAGGAUUAGAAACCCCUGUAGUCC